AAUAGUCUGAAGCAACAUUAAAGCCAUGAUUCGUAGUUUUUAAUAUUGUUUCUGACCUCCUCGAUAAGUAACCAGAAUAAUUUUUACGGGUUCUAAUAUUCACAAAAUCCAAACAACGCUUUAUACUUUUCAAAGUGGUUAAUGGCAUCUUUUCUCUUUUACAAGGCUUGGUUUGCAUGCAUCCCCAUAAGUUAUGAGCAUUCAAACUUAAAAAAUAUUACUCUGACUGGUUUUUUUUGGAUUUCAUCUGUCAGACUAUGCAAAAAAAUGAAGGAGGCAUCAAACUAAAUCAUAGACUGAUCGAAUUUCAAUAUUUGCUUCUGCCAUCAUUACAAUAAUCAUUUCAGCAGUACACGGACCAGAUGAGCACUGCUUGAAUUUGAGAGGUGUGCUGCUUGAGCAGGUAUGAUAAAAAUUUCUGGGAGCUGGAUGGAAGAAAAUGACUUUUUUGGUUACAUUAUUGUCAAGGGUACAUUCCUUCGGUCAAAACAGUUAACACUGAAGAACCAUCACGUAAUUAAGAUUUCAGAUAUUGUGCAUUAAUUUAGCUCAGGUUAAAAAAGCAAGACUCAUCUAAAUUAUUACUCAGCAUUUAUGUAAGAACUAAUAUUCCUCAAUUUCGUUUCUUGAUUGCAACAGGAUCAAUGUAAAAAAGAAUUCAUGAGAGUCAUUAUUAAUAGAGGCAGCCUCCGGCAAUGAGUAAUGCAUUUCACUAUUGUUUUAUCAAGUUUAUCAUUUUGGGAGAAAAGUCCCAUAGCAAAAAUAGUUUUAGGUAGGUAGUGGGAUAGUUUUGAGGAUAGUGAAACAAUUUUAAUUAACUAAUUAUCAUACAGUUUCCAUGACAAUGUUUAACCAUGAAGACUAAGUGAAAUGAAAUAAAUGAUGAAAUGGAUUAUGGUAGUUAUGAUGAAUGGUUGAACAGAGCUAUUGAAGCCUUAGCAGCAUUGAGAAAUCUAUCGUUGACCGGACCCAGUCUAUUCAUCAGACUUCAUUCCAUGGUAUUCAAUUUUAAUGUGAUAUUUAGGGACAAGUCUGAUGAAUAUAGUAUCAUCUUAUUGCAAGAUUUAUCUAGAAAACACAACAUUAUACUGUAUCGUUGUUUUUCAAGACCAGACGUGUUAUACAUCGUGUCUCAAAUCAGAGACCUGUACAUUAAAACGAAAGAUGUUCAAAUGAAAAGAACUAUAGACAUCGUGAUGCGCACAGCUGAUGGAGAUAAAAUUUUAAAAUUAUCACUUAUCUUAGAGGAAUUUAUGAAAAACAAUAACUACGCUUAUGGCAUGUCCAUUGCGGACGUAGAUUUCAUUUUAAGUACGUACCGCAAUAAGACGGAGCUUACUCGCAUCUUCAAUGAAAUGGAUGUAGCAGACCAUUCCAUUGAACAUCACAAGACUGUUUUAGCAAGAUUAUAUUAUAAAGUUUUAGAUGACUUUCCAAAGCUGUCGAAAAUAUACAGUAAAUCUAUAGGAAAAGAAGAUCCCGAUGCCACUGCUAAAACCUUAGCCGAUCUUCCACAAGAAUUACGAAAUGAAAUUUUUUCCUAUUUGUAUUUGGAAAAUAUAUCAUACAAAUAAUUAAAUUGCAGUAAGAACUCGGAACCACCAAUGCCUCAAAACAAUAGAGAUUUUCUCGAGCUAUUAUUUUUAGACUCUUCAUGUUUGCAAUGAUAUGAUGUACACCCAAACUUAGUUUAUAAUGGUUCAUAUGAAUUGUUUUAUUAAUUUUGGUUAAAUUUUCCAAAUAAGAAUUGAAAACAAUUUCAGUAUCGCCAACAAUUCAUGAAACAUGACGUGUAACGAUUGUCCUAUUUUUACCAGAAGAAGCCAUUAUGUGCAAUCCGAAGAUGAUCUUGUAUGCUCUGCCUUGUAGAAAAGAAAUGCUAUAUUCAUUGUAUUUACCUUUCCUGACUUAGAAAGUCAGUUAAAUCAAGUAGAUUUCUCAUUCGAAGGCAACAUUGCUUGUAUUGUAACAUUACUUAUCAGCUCAGGAGAUUAUCUCAAACUAUUAAUAUAUAAUAUUGGUCCUUGAUUCUUUACCAAUUGUCAUUCUGUGUCAAGUUAGGCUCCUGUGUAAGGUUCAAUAAUUGUUUUUCUUAAGCUUUUCUUUCUUGGUAUACAUGUCAUGCUGAAAUACCAGGAAAAUCAAAUGCCUGUUGGUAUUGAAGGAAUAACCUCAAAUACAGAAGUGUCAGCAGAUUCAGUUGUAAUGUAUGUCAUUGAAAAAAUGGCCAUAGGUAAAAAAGAAAAAAAAGUUAUGUGUUUAAUGUAAAAUUUACCAUGUCUAGUCGAACCUUUACAUACAAGAACCAUAAAAAAUUUAAAGAAAGAAAGAGACAGGUUCGUUUUACCAUGUUUUAUUAGUAGUGUUAAUGGAGUUAUGUGUUUUCAACAAUCAACUUCGAAUUUUUGUCAACUUACUAUUCAUGCAUUUACAUUGAAGAGAUCGGACUGUGGGUUGGACCUUAAGUGAUUUUUUUUUUUUUCUUUCUUUAAAAAAUAACACAUAAGAAUGGCAGCAUAGGUAUCAUAUUUUAAAAUGUUGGCAAAUCACAAAUUUAAUUAGUUUGUAAGGUUUAAAUCAGCCAUGUUCCUAUAUUUUUUUCUCCUAUUUUCGUUUAUUGUUCAACUACUUUUAGAGAUUCCAAUUCUCAAAUUUUCAUGCACGCACUCAUUUGUUGCUAAAUUUUCAGAUCCUAGCUUUAACAUUCAUACAUUUGUUUGUCUAGUUUUCCGUGUUGACCCAAAAAAUUUACGGUAAAAACUAUAAAAAUUAUAUUAUUUUAAUACCUAAUUUAUUUUCAUGUUCAAAGUCAAAUUAGUAGCGUUCAAAUACUCAUAUGGUGAAGGUCUGUCCGUGGCUUGGUUCAUACAUGGGCUCAAAAUUAUACCCUAAUCUUCACACUUUUGAGCAUGGAGUUACCUUACUUCAGCCUCUGCAUUCGAAUUGGAUUUUCUUUCAACGCUCUGUAUUACAAGAUUUUUAUUGGAUGCCAGCUUGAAAAGAGGCAGGACUUAAUAGCAUCCCUGUUUACUGUUCAGCCAGAAUGUGGAUGAAGAUCUUUCUACGAUGGGAGGUAAUCAUUGGAAACUUAAAUGAGGUUCAAGCCUUUUCCCGCCGUGAAUACUGGCCUUCAAUGCAGAGCCUGAUAUCUUGGUAUCGUAACAUAUAUUCUUAUGUUUCUAAAACUGAUUUUAUCAAUCCUAUUGCCUAAGUCUGAUAACAUUUUCUAUUUCAAACAGACAACAUCUGAUGUGACCAAACUAUACAUAUUGAAGAUAAAUAAUCAAUGAGUGAUGAAUAAGUCCUGUGAGGGUUAAUUUUGUCCCAUUGCAAAAGACUCGGUCCUUUGGUUUGGUUUGAAACCUGCACCUAGAUAUUUUUAGUCUUAAAUCAUUGUAACAAAGAAAGGGAAUGUCAUUAAUACAUUUAUAUUUGUAGUCAAACAUUUGAAAGCUCAAACUCACUAGUCUACGCCAAAUAAUUUUACGAGCUUCUAGACUGUGACCGAAGAUCGUCUGACACCACUUUUAUACAUAUAUGUAAAGUAUCUUUUGUUGCAAUCUAAAAGUAUUAUUUGGCGUGAACUCUAGCUACAAUAUUUGUCAAGCAAUCUUUUCGAGAGAGCCUUUUUGUCCUUCAUCAUUUUGAGAAUUUUUGGGCAAUUUUAAAUUAUCUAUGUGUGGUUGGCAGCCUUUGUCACCUGUCUUGGCGCCAGCCACCUCUCUUUCUGAUAGAUGUCAGGGCAGCUGAGGAAAAUCAGUCUGUGUCUGGACCACACAGGUCGCCCACCUGUGCUAUGUUCAUCACUAAAUAGGUUAAGGAUGACUGCCACUUGAACCGCUUUAUCCUGUUUCGCUAACUUGAUUGCGACGGAAUAAUGUUCAAGUCGAGAUUUGAAUCAUUUUUAAUAAGUUUCCAAAUGCUGAUCCAAUGGUAAGCUCGGAGAAGGUUUUACUUUUAGAUUUGAGGACAUACUGAUUACAAAAUGAAACCGGAUCACCAGAAUAAACUUAAUAUUGACAGUUUUUGCUUCUAGGCCUUCAGGCCACCAACAUAGUAAAAAAAAAUAAUAAUUUAAAAUCACACUUUAAAAGGAUUGUCAUGACACUGAAGUGACGAUGGUUUAAAACACAGUUAAAAAUUUAAUAUUGGCUUUAAGAGUUUGCGUGGUGCGGCGAUGUUGUACCUGGUGGUACCCGUUUGGCCCUGAGCUUCACGUACGAUUUCCAAACUUUCAUCUUUGCUGUCGUCGAGUUAAAUUAAUGCACAGCGGUGGAAAGACAAGAAAAGAGAAGAAGAGCUUUAGUAGGUGACAUGGCUUAAGCCUCUUACUUUUAUUAUGUAAUAAAACCUCAAAAAAACAAAAGACAGCUGGGAGCAACAGAUGCGCACGCAUGCUAAUAUGAAGUGCAAGGUUGACAAGUUUACAGCAUUAACAUUAGAUUGAAAAUAUUAUUAGGGGUGGAACACCAACACUUCCCCUCAAUCUAAUUGUUAAAAAAAUAUUAACAAUUCAAUUAACGACUAAAGUGACAAUUUAACUUGAAUGUUUCGACAAAAUAAUUGCAUGUUAUGCUUUAACAAGAAGGUUGAAAAAGAUUUCCCCUUGAUAUGCAAUUGUUUAAGUGAAACAUAAUGACCAGAAAAAUUUAAACAACAGAGAUAUUAUAGCAAAUAGCAAAAGAAAUUAGCGGAGACCAAUUUUUUGAGAACAGAAUUUCUGUUUGGGGGCUGGAACAGGCUUAGUUAGAAAAUCAGCAGGCAUAACUGAAGUAGGGAGAUAUUCUACAGUGAUAUCAUUAUUUUUAACAUCAUUUCGUAAGAACCAGUAACGCACAUCUAUGUGUUUUAUUCUAUUUUGUUGAACAGGGUUUUCUGCUAUUCUCUUUGCAUUUUGAUUAUCAGUGAAAAUAAGUGCAGAAUCUUUUCUGUUAAUUAACUCAUGAAGGAGAAAUUUUAAAUGAAUUGCCUCUUUAGCAGCUAAAGUUAUUGCAAUGUAUUCAGCUUCUGUACUUGAGAGUGAUGUGGUUUUCUGUUUUUGACAUUCCCACGAAAUUGCACAGUCGCUAUAAGUGAAAACAUUACCAGAGAAGGAUUUCCUUUGAAGACAAUUAUUGGCCCAAUCAGAGUCUGAGUAACCAAUAAGAUCAUAAUCUGACUUUUUAUAAGUUAAAGACAGAUUAGAAGUACCUUUUAAGUAUCUUAAAAUACGUUGAGCACAAGUCCAGUGUUGUUGCGUUGGUUUUCUGUUAAAUUGUAAGCCAGUUUCAACUCCUCUUAUUGAUACAAAAUUUGACGAAGAUAUUCCGGUACGCCCAGAUCUAGAGAAACCAUAUCAACAGUUGAUAGGUAGUUUACUUUACUUAGCUAUUACCUCACGUCCAGAUAUUCUUCAUCCUGUUACGUUCUUAAGCUAAUUUAACUCUACGACAUUUGCAGAUUUUUUUGCUCAUUUUAUGUAGGAAAUGAUAAAAUGUUUCCACCUCAUUUUGAUCUCUGGAAUCAAAAAAGAAAUCUAUUAAAUAAUUUAUUGUCUUUCGGGCGCAUAAACUUAUCGAAAGCUGCUAUUAUUUCAUCAGGAUCAGCAAGAUCUUAAAACCCAAAGUGUAAAUUGCGUCUUGGGCUUCAUUGCCAAUUACAUUUAAUAGCUGCGCAGCAUGCACAUUAGGUUUAGAUUUACUUUGGCGGGUAGCCAAAAUGAACGUAUUGGAGUUUCUUAUAAACUUUGUCCAUUGAUUGGUCAGGAAAGGUAACUGCAAGUCCACACAGGUUUCGGCAGGUUGAAUUGGCUGGAAGCGGAUGCUAUUACUCACUUGGAAAGUGAAAGCUGAGAUUUACAUUACAUACAGUUAGUUGAAAGGAAGAAUUAAAUUAGUAUUUUCUUCGUCACCAUGUUGGAUGCUGUCGAAAUGAUUACUCUAAGUGAAGGGAAAAAGAAUAAGCUUUAUUAAACUGAAGUAUCACAAAAGACAUCCGCAAAAUCUUUCGUCUAAGAACAUAGAAUGAACAAUGAAUGUAGGCUGGACACACAGGCACAUGUGUUGCAGCUGCCAACCGGUAGCAGCAUUUUGUGGAAACCCCUGCAACAGGUGGUGGUAGAUAUUAUUUGAUGCCUCACGGAGGCAGUUUGGUGGAGUUGAUAACAGGGCAGGUGACAGGAGGGUUUUCAGGAAGGGACUCAGUUUUUGAGCAAGCUCCUUCAAGUCCUUGUCAUUUGACAGUCCAAUAGUUCUGAACUCAUGGGUCCGGAUCCUGCUCUCAGGGGCUCACCCCCAUAUGAACCAGCUUGUGUAAACUUCCUUGUUCAAUCUAAGUAAUGAUCUAAUGAAGUAACAUUUUUAUUGCUCCAUCAUAGAAAUAACCUGAAUGUGGUAGUUCUGUUUCUACUUGAUGAUAGGACCCUUAAAAUCCCACUUUGGACAUCCACUGGUAAUACUCAAAAGUUGUUGAUUUGGUGCUUUGAUAAAAGGAUUGUUACAAUCCCUGUCAGGCCAUCCACUGGUAAUAGUCAUAAGUUGUUGGUUCAGCCGUUAAUUGAGUCUGUCGUUCCAUCAUCCCAAAAGGAAAGAUGAGGAUAAUUAUCAUGACCCGUAACGUCAGUUUGCGGGGACAGUGAAGGAACAAAGAAUGUUAAAGAAAGAGACUACCGAAUCUGAGGGAGAAGUGAUUUAUCGAAAAGAAUGAACACAACUGAGCUCCUUACGGGAGCUCUAUCAUUGCCGGCGCCAGGUGGCCAGAAAUACAUAGAACGUCAGUGAAGGGGAGCGCUCCUUCCGACGUAGCCCAAUGAGUCACCUCACUACGUCACGCCGGAUAUGACCUGCUCCCACACUGACGAAUUGCGUGUGGGUCCCCGAAAAACAAAAACUGAAAUGUGGGGGUGAAAUGACCGGGAGGGUAAUGAAAAAGGAGACUUUAGCGGUGUCUGAGGGACACCGCUGACGAGAAAGGAGGGGUGGGGGGUAUGAUGUCUUCUAUCCCUCUGGCUUAGUGAAUUUGAAGUCUUCCCAGGCUGCUUGCUGUCCCAGAGAGUUCUUUUGUCCCAGUUGGGGUGGCUGCAGGAAUUGUCUAGGCUGGAUGUCAGGCUAGGUGGUGAGGGUCUGUAUAUCCAUGGUAACGAUCGACUUUUUGCAAUUUGAGACGGAUUAACGCGUCAGCUUAGAACACCUCGAGAGUUCGGUGUUGCAGGGGCGGAGCGGAGUAACCUAGCAAAAAAAAAUUAUUUUUGUUAGGGAAAGAAACACUCACGUCCAAUUGCCUCGUCGCCAAUUAUUAUGGCCCGUAACGUCAGUUUGCAGGGACAGUGAAGGAACAAAGAAUGCUAAGGAAAGAGACUACCGAAUCUGAGGGAGAAGUGAUCUAUUGAAAAGAAUGAACACAACUGAGCUCCUUACGGGAGCUCUAUUAUUACCGGUGCCAGGCGGCCGGAAAUACAUAGAACGUCAGUGAAGGGGAGCGCUCCCCCCGACGUAGUGCAAUGAGUCACCUCACUACGUCACGCUGGAUAUGACAAUAAUGUUAAAAUAUAUUCUAUAUUUUAUUCUUUGCCUCACACUGUGCUGAUCAUUGACAUUCAUCACAUGAAAGCAGCAUAAUAUGAGUGCUUAAAUGUGCCUCUUUGAGGUCCACUGAUAAUAUACCUCUUAGAAUCUUAAAUUGCUUAAAAUUAACACCUCCAGCUCGAUGAGUACUCGAUACUCGAUGAGUUAAUAGCUAAUACACGAUUCUUUGACCAACAAAGGAGUGUCCUAAUUGGACUGCAUUUUGCAAUUUAGAACUAUAAACUCUGGCCCGGUUUAAAAACAAGGUAUGUGCCACUAGUUUCCCUAUGCACAUAAGUGGUUUUUUAGAUGAGCCAGAAUUCAUAGUUCCAAAUUGCAAAAUGCAGUCCAAUUAGUUAACCUCAGCUAUCUCUCUGUUAAUUGAAAAUCCAUGUUUGCUAUCUGCGUUGCCAGGGAAAAGAAUAAAAAUGAGCCUUAAAUUGCUGAGCAAUUCCUUGGAACCUUCAAAAUCUGUAAUGACAGUCCUCCAAAAAGGACCAAGUCAAUCAUUUCUUCGGCUAAAAAUUGCCAUUUUUUCUUCAACUGUCUUUUGAGAGCACAGUUUGUAGAAGUCACUCUUGACUUCAUCCACAGCAACUCAUCAACAAAUUUCUCAAGACAAGAUUACAGAUGCGACUCAUGGAAAUGAGUUUUCUUUCUUUAACAAUUGCUGAUCAACAUAGAGUUACGGAAUGUCAUAGCUCUGGUGAUUGAAUAUUUCGGUGGAGACUUUUCCAAAAUUUUAGUGAUAGCGUGUUCUAGACACUGAGGACGAUCUUUUCAAAAAACAAGGAUUUCUUUAGUUUUAUCCUGCAAAAUCUUUCUUUUUUCUCAGAAGGCUUCAGUUACAAGAUGCCUUAAAUAAAUAUUUUGGCAAGUUAGCAAAUCAUCAGACAUAUUAACAUCAAUUCUUGUACUUAAGUUUUUUGAUCCCAAGGGUUUUUUUUUUUUUUUUUUCACAAUUUUGGUACCUAUGUUAUUAACACUGCUAGAAGUUGAAACAGGUCAUCGUACAAAAAAAAAGGGCAAGUCUUCUCAGCCUAAUAUGUAACAUGCAAUGGUUUAAACUCUUUGGCGAUACUAAUAAAGCAGGCAACUUUAAUCUUAAGCAAUGGAUCACUCAGAUGAAUUUUUACCUUUCAAUAUGAUUUUGAUUUGGUUUCUUGAGGAAAUCCAUUUCCAGUAAUCCUUUGAUGUAAGAUUUUAAGUAAGUGUCGCAGAAUUGAAGGAGCUCACUCUGCCACCAGUUUAUUGUCUAGCCACCUUGUGCCAUAGAAUUUUAUGGGGAAAUCAUAGGAGCCCCUGUAUUUUAAAUAAUCGGCUUUUUUGCUGAUGAUUCUCUAAAAUGGUCAUACAAUGACCGCAUAUAACCCGCUAGACCCAAUUUUGUGGACUCAAACAUGCGGACUACAUUUUCUGAAGUUGAUUAACACGAGUCGGUCUUGUUCCAUCAUCUUAAACUGUUAGCAUCCUACUCUUUAAUGAAAUGAAUUAACGAAUCUGCCAAUGAUUGCUAACUUUAAGGUCUUUCACUCGCACAUUGUUUUGUUUCACAAGCCUGUAUGUAAAUUGCAGUGCUAUCUAUGUUCUGAAUAUACCGACAUAAAAAUAUCAUCAGUCCUAGUAGUAUGUGAGUCAAAGUGUAAUGAGCUAUUUGAUAUGAAUUUUCGCUUAAAACUUGUGAUCAGGAUACUUCCAAAUUUUCAUUAUCAACCAGUAGAAAUUUCGCUAACAGUCUCCAGAGCUAGGCAAAGAUAACCACCCAGUUAAUUAACCAGAAGGGUAAUUUUUUUUUUCUCCAGUUAGAUGCAUGAAUGUCAAGACUUAUGACUAACUGGAUACCCCCUAAUUGGAAUACAGUUUUUUUUUCUAAAUUCUUACCGGAGUAUUAUUAUUUUAGGAAUGCAGUUUUUAUUUCACAAGUACCUAUCUAAUCUUAGUGAAAUAGGUUGACUUAAAAUUAGUCAAAGUUUUAUCAAUAUUGAUCAUCACUGUGUCUUUGAAUAAAUUUAUAUUUGUU